rnacentral:rRNA from 1 species
UACGUAGGGAGCAAGCGUUGUCCGGAUUCACUGGGUGUAAAGGGUGCGUAGGCGGGACAGUAAGUCAGUGGUGAAAUCUCACAGCUCAACCGUGAAACUGCCGUUGAUACUGCUGUUCUUGAGUUCGGGAGAGGUUGAUAGAAUUCCAGGUGUAGCGGUGAAAUGCGUAGAUAUCUGGAAGAAUACCAGUGGCGAAGGCGGUCAACUGGCCCGAAACUGACGCUGAGGCACGAAAGCGUGGGGAGCGAACAGGAUUAGAAACCCCCGUAGUCC